AUUGAACGCUGGCGGCAGGCCUAACACAUGCAAGUCGAGCGGCAGCGGGAAAGUAGCUUGCUACUUUUGCCGGCGAGCGGCGGACGGGUGAGUAAUGCCUGGGGAUCUGCCCAGUCGAGGGGGAUAACAGUUGGAAACGACUGCUAAUACCGCAUACGCCCUACGGGGGAAAGGAGGGGACCUUCGGGCCUUUCGCGAUUGGAUGAACCCAGGUGGGAUUAGCUAGUUGGUGGGGUAAUGGCUCACCAAGGCGACGAUCCCUAGCUGGUCUGAGAGGAUGAUCAGCCACACUGGAACUGAGACACGGUCCAGACUCCUACGGGAGGCAGCAGUGGGGAAUAUUGCACAAUGGGGGAAACCCUGAUGCAGCCAUGCCGCGUGUGUGAAGAAGGCCUUCGGGUUGUAAAGCACUUUCAGCGAGGAGGAAAGGUUGUUGGCUAAUA
rnacentral:rRNA from 11 species